rnacentral:rRNA from 1 species
UACGAAGGGGGCUAGCGUUGUUCGGAUUUACUGGGCGUAAAGCGCACGUAGGCGGAUCUUUAAGUCAGGGGUGAAAUCCCGAGGCUCAACCUCGGAACUGCCUUUGAUACUGGGGAUCUCGAGUCCGGGAGAGGUGAGUGGAACUGCGAGUGUAGAGGUGAAAUCGUAGAUAUUCGCAAGAACACCAGUGGCGAAGGCGGCUCACUGGCCCGGUACUGACGCUGAGGUGCGAAAGCGUGGGGAGCAAACAGG